GUAGGGAAUCUUUGGCAAUGGGGGCAACCCUGACCGAGCAACGCCGCGUGAGUGAAGAAGGUUUUCGGAUCGUAAAGCUCUGUUGUAAGAGAAGAACGUGUGUGAGAGUGGAAAGUUCACACAGUGACGGUAACUUACCAGAAAGGGACGGCUAACUACGUGCCAGCAGCCGCGGUAAUACGUAGGUCCCGAGCGUUGUCCGGAUUUAUUGGGCGUAAAGCGAGCGCAGGCGGUUUAAUAAGUCUGAAGUUAAAGGCAGUGGCUUAACCAUUGUUCGCUUUGGAAACUGUUAAACUUGAGUGCAGAAGGGGAGAGUGGAAUUCCAUGUGUAGCGGUGAAAUGCGUAGAUAUAUGGAGGAACACCGGUGGCGAAAGCGGCUCUCUGAUCUGUAACUGACGCUGAGGCUCGAAAGCGUGGGGAGCAAACAGGAUUAGAUACCCUUGUAGUCCC
rnacentral:rRNA from 1 species